rnacentral:ncRNA from 15 species
UGCUUAUCAAGAGUGGUGGAGGGAUAAGGCCCGAUGAAACCACAGCAACCGGCCCUGCGACAAACAGGGCGCCAGGUGCUAAAUCCUGCCGCAAGGCGAAGAUGAGCG